UUACAAGUGAAAGGGUGGGGAAAUUGUAAGGGAAUGAAACAGUUUCCCAGACCCUUUUAAGUCACAUCAGAUGAAAGAAUUGUUCACUAUAUCUUUUCAUAAGGAAGGUACUGCUGGGAACCAAAAGUGCCAAAAAUAGUGAUCAGAGCUCAGCACCUUGUGAAAUAAUGUAAAGGGAACAGAGAAGAAGAAGAAGGAACAACUAAUUAGAGCAAGCAGGCUUGUGCUGCCUGGGAAAAGAAACAAAUGCAUAAGUAAAAACAAUUCUGCAGAUGAUAAAGGUAUUUCCAUGCAAAGCAACAGAUUCUCAGUUUUAGACUU
rnacentral:lncRNA from 1 species